UACGGAGGGUCCAAGCGUUAUCCGGAAUCACUGGGUUUAAAGGGUGCGUAGGUGGUUUGUUAAGUCAGUGGUGAAAUCUUGCAGCUCAACUGUAAAACUGCCAUUGAUACUGACAAACUUGAAUUUAAUCGAUGUGGGCGGAAUAAGUCAUGUAGCGGUGAAAUGCGUAGAUAUGACUUAGAACACCGAUUGCGAAGGCAGCUCACAAGGUUAGAUUGACACUGAGGCACGAAAGCGUGGGUAGCGAACAGG
rnacentral:rRNA from 1 species